rnacentral:rRNA from 1 species
GAUGAACGCUGGCGGCGUGCUUAACACAUGCAAGUCGAACGAUGAAGCCCAGCUUGCUGGGUGGAUUAGUGGCGAACGGGUGAGUAACACGUGAGUAACCUGCCCUUAACUCUGGGAUAAGCCUGGGAAACUGGGUCUAAUACCGGAUAGGAGCGCCUACCGCAUGGUGGGUGUUGGAAAGAUUUAUCGGUUUUGGAUGGACUCGCGGCCUAUCAGCUUGUUGGUGAGGUAAUGGCUCACCAAGGCGACGACGGGUAGCCGGCCUGAGAGGGUGACCGGCCCAACGGGGACGAGGAAACGGCCCAGACCCCUCCGGGGGGAAGCGGGGGGGAAUAUUCCACAAGGGGCGAAAGCCUGAUGCAGCGACGCCGGGGGGGGGAGGACGGCCUUCGGGUUGUAAACCUUUUUCAGUAGGGAAGAAGCGAAAGGGGCGGUACCGGCAGAAGAAGCACCGGCUAACUACGG